CACAUGCAAGUCGAACGGCAGCAUAGAGAGCUUGCUCUCUGAUGGCGAGUGGCGAACGGGUGAGUAAUAUAUCGGAACGUGCCUAGUAAUGGGGAAUAACUAGCUGAAAGGUUAGCUAAUGCCGCAUACGACCUACGGGUGAAAGCAGGGGAUCUUCGGACCUUGCGUUAUUAGAGCGGCCGAUAUCUGAUUAGCUUGUUGGUGGGGUAAUGGCCUACCAAGGCGACGAUCAGUAGCUGGUCUGAGAGGACGAUCAGCCACACUGGAACUGAGACACGGUCCAGACUCCUACGGGAGGCAGCAGUGGGGAAUUUUGGACAAUGGGGGCAACCCUGAUCCAGCCAUUCCGCGUGAGUGAAGAAGGCCUUCGGGUUGUAAAGCUCUUUCGCAAGAGAAGAAAACUUACUAUCUAAUAAAUAGUAAGUAUGACGGUAUCUUGACAAGAAGCACCGGCUAACUACGUGCCAGCAGCCGCGGUAAUACGUAGGGUGCAAGCGUUAAUCGGAAUUACUGGGCGUAAAGCGUGCGCAGGCAGUUUUAUAAGUCAGAUGUGAAAUCCCCGAGCUCAACUUGGGAACUGCGUUUGAAACUGUAAGACUAGAGUGUGUCAGAAGGGGGGUAGAAUUCCAAGUGUAGCAGUGAAAUGCGUA
rnacentral:rRNA from 1 species